CCAGUCCUCACUGAGGGGUCAGCAGUGGAAAGGGUGAGCAGCUUCAAGUUCCUGGGUGUCAACAUCUCAGAGGAUCUGUCUUGGGCCCAACACACUGAUGCAAUCAUGAAGAAGGCACGCCAGAGGCUCGACUCAUCAGGAGCUUUUGGUAAAAACCCAACCAUUGCAUUAUCAUUCAGGACUGGAUCAUAUGCCACUCACGACUAACAAAUGUCGCCUGGCCUGCUGAGUUCCUCCAGCAUCAUCGUGUUUUUCAUCUCGGCUCCAGCAUCUGCGGUCCUUUGUUUCUCCUGUUUUUCUUCAGUCACUCCACAACUGGCAGCCUUGCCUUCAGCUGCGAGGGUCCCAACUGCUGUAUUUCCCUCCUAAAACUUCCCACCCCUUGGGUCUUCCUUUAAAACUCUCCUUAAAAACCUACUCCUUUGAUUCACCUUUGGGCAUCUGUCCCGAUAUCUCACUAUGUGCUGCCACUUUUAUUUUAAUUUGGUAAUUUGCCAUUGAAGCACCUUUGGGAUUUUUUUGUUCUGUUGAGGACGCUAUAUAAAUGGAAAUUUUUGUUGUAAUGUGCACAUGCAAAUUACAUGCUUGAGAGCAUUCAAUGGGCCUGGAUUAUCCGGUAAUUAUAAAGUGGAGACAAAUCCACAUCCUGACCUUUUUAUCACAGUCAAUUAGCAUUACUUUUACAAUAAAUAAUUUGUUUUGAUUUAACUGGUGGGAGCUCUCCUAUUCCCACUUCGUGACAAAGACACAAUAGUUAGAGAUUAAGUGCUGGAAGAACAAAAGGAAAACAUUCAGUGUGUUGUUCACCUGAUGAG